rnacentral:rRNA from 1 species
UUGACCUCGGAUCAGGAAG